rnacentral:rRNA from 1 species
GCGAACGGGUGCGUAAUACGUGAGAAUCUGCCCUUAGGAGGAGAAUAACUUCUGGAAACGGUUGCUAAGUCUCCAUAUGCCGAGAGGUAAAAUAGUUUAUACUGCCUAGGGAUGAGCUCACGCCUGAUUAGCUUGUUGGUAAGGUAAUGGCUUACCAAGGCCACGAUCAGUAGCUGGUUCGAGAGAACGAUCAGCCACACUGGGACUGAGACACGGCCCAGACUCCUCCGGGAGGCAGCAGUGAGGAAUUUUCCGCAAUGGGCGAAAGCCUGACGGAGCAAUACCGCGUGAGGGAUGAAGGAUUUUGGUCUGUAAACCUCUUUUCUCAAGAAAGAAGUUCUGACGGUACUUGAGGAAUAAGCAUCGGCUAACUCCGUGCCAGCAGCCGCGGUAAUACGGGGGAUGCAAGCGUUAUCCGGAAUCAUUGGGCGUAAAGCGCCUGUAGGUUGUUUAAUAAGUCUGUUGUUAAAGACUAGGGCUCAACCCUAGGAAAGCAAUGGAAACUACUAGACUUGAGUAUGAUAGGGGUAGAGGGAAUUUCUAGUGUAGCGGUGAAAUGCGUAGAUAUUAGGAAGAACACCGGUGGCGAAGGCGCUCUACUGGAUCAUUACUGACACUUAGAGGCGAAAGCUAGGGUAGCAAAAGGGAUU